rnacentral:tRNA from 1 species
UUACAUACUAGCCAAACGGUAAGGCGCUUGACUUAAAAUCGAGUAUAUGCAGGUUCAAAUCCUGUGUGUGAAA